rnacentral:misc_RNA from 1 species
AACGCACAUUGCGCUCCCUGGUAUUCCGGGGAGCAUGCCUGUUCGAGCGUCAUUAUCAACCAUCAAGCUCUGCUUGGAAUUGGGCGUCGUCCGCACGGACGUGCCCUAAACGCCUCGGCGGCGGUUUCAAACCUCAAGCGUAGUAAAAUCUUUUUCAGCUUACUAGGUUUGGGACCGUUUUUGCCUCGAGAACCCUCUCACCUCAAGGUUGACCUCGGAUCAGGUAGGGAUACCCGCUGAACUUAA